rnacentral:rRNA from 1 species
AACGAACGCUGGCGGCAUGCCUAACACAUGCAAGUCGAACGAGACCUUCGGGUCUAGUGGCGCACGGGUGCGUAACGCGUGGGAACCUGCCCUUAGGUUCGGAAUAGCUCCCCGAAAGGGGUGCUAAUACCGGAUAAUGUCUUCGGACCAAAGAUUUAUCGCCUUUGGAUGGGCCCGCGUUGGAUUAGCUAGUUGGUAGGGUAAAAGCCUACCAAGGCGACGAUCCAUAGCUGGUCUGAGAGGAUGAUCAGCCACACUGGGACUGGGACACGGCCCAGACUCCGACGGGGGGCAGCAGUGGGGAAUAUUGGAAAAGGGGAGAAAGCCUGAUCCACAAAGGCCGGGUGGGUGAUGAAGGCCUUAGGGUUGAAAAGCUUUUUUACCCGGGAUGAUAAUGACAGUACCGGGAGAAAAAGCCCCGGCUAACUCCUU